GGGGUGGCCUCCAGAGAACCAGGAAGACCGGCCUCUCACAUCCGCCUACCUGGCAACCGCAGAUUCUGACCUAGAAGACAGGGAUGGUGAAACCCAGCCAGUGAGGGUGCGGGCCGCUAGGACACCAAGGGUUGAGAACAUUGAUUCCAGGCAGGUCCACUGUGUGGAGCUUGCAUGUUCUUCCCUUUGGGUUUUCUCCUGGUUUUCCUCCCAGCCCAGACAUGCAGCUCAGGGAUCCACAGCCCUCUCCUGGGCACCUGCAGGAUCCGGCGCUGUUCUGGAGAAGCCCGUUGUAGACACUGUACCACCAGCCAGCUGCACUUGUUGUCCUGGAUGUCAGUGCCAAUCUUGCCCGUCACACUGGAGUCCCCGAAGAGAUCAAGGUAAUCAUCCUGGGCAGGGGAGCAGAGAAGGAGAUGAAGAUACUCCCCAAGGCGGGGAAGGAGGGAAGCUGGAGCCUGUUCUCUGCCAGUGCCUCCCGCCUUCCUACCUGGAUCUGAAAGAGCUCUCCAAUCUCCAUCAGGAUCUUCUUGGCAUUGGCGUGUUCCUUCUCCCCGUCAAUGCCUGCCUACAGUGAAAAGGGGAUUGACAGGCGAAGCAUCAGAGGCACCUUCAUCUUCCUGACUGCUUCCUCCCACAGGUUCUUGCUCAAGGUUAGCCCCUAAAUCUUCUCUGUCUCCUCAGACAUCCCUGGCUUCCCUGGCCUAAGAAGUCCCGGCUGGUGGUCCAACCUCUAUCUCACUUAAUUUUAGCUAGGCCUUCCUGCAGGCAGAAAUUAGUCCAUUCUGGAGGCCCUCAGACCAUCUCUUUUUUCAUGAAGUUCAGUCCAGGAGUCACAGAUUCUUCUUCAUAA